rnacentral:rRNA from 1 species
GACGAACGCUGGCGGCGUGCUUAACACAUGCAAGUCGAACGGUAAGGCCCUUCGGGGUACACGAGUGGCGAACGGGUGAGUAACACGUGGGUGAUCUGCCCUGCACUUCGGGAUAAGCCUGGGAAACUGGGUCUAAUACCGGAUAGGACUCCGGACUGCAUGGUCUGGGGUGGAAAGCUUUUGCGGUGUGGGAUGGGCCCGCGGCCUAUCAGCUGGUUGGUGGGGUGAUGGCCUACCCAGGGGACGACGGGUAGCCGGCCUGAGGGGGUGACCGGCCACACGGGGAGUGAGAUGCGGCCCAGACUCCUACGGGAGGCAGCAGUGGGGAAUAUUGCACAAUGGGCGCAAGCCUGAUGCAGCGACGCCGCGUGAGGGAUGACGGCCUUCGGGUUGUAAACCUCUUUCAGCAUCGACGAAGCGAAAGUGACGGUAGGUGCAGAAGAAGGACCGGCCAACUACGUGCCAGCAGCCGCAGUAA